AUGCAUGUCAUGGAGACGCGGUUUCGAAACAAUGCUGCCCACCGAGAAGACCUGCUUGGGCUUAUGAUUCAGGCCCGCAGGUCGGGUGCCAACACACUGAGCAACGAAGAAAUCGUCGGGGAAUGCAAGACUUUCUUUGCCACAGGGACAAUUACCAGCACAACCCUCCUUGCUUGGACAAUGUUCCUGAUCAGCAUCUACCCACAGUGGCAGGCGAAGAUCAGGGAGGAAGUCCUCCGUGAAUGCCAUGAAGAGGAACAAGGUGAGGUAUUGAGCAUCAACAUUCUCGGGAAACUGAAGCUGCUUAAUAUGGUUCUCCCUGAGACACUAAGGCUCUAUAAUCCUAUACCGUUCAUGACAAGAAGGGUCGCCUCUGAUACCAUCUUGUAA
rnacentral:rRNA from 1 species